UGCCAGCCGCCGCGGUAAUACGGAGGGUGCAAGCGUUGUCCGGAUUUACUGGGUUUAAAGGGUCCGUAGGCGGGUCUUUAAGUCAGUGGUGAAAUCCUGCGGCUCAACCGUAGAACUGCCAUUGAUACUGAAGAUCUUGAGUAUAGUUGAGGUAGGCGGAAUUUAUGAUGUAGCGGUGAAAUGCAUAGAUAUCAUAAAGAACACCAAUUGCGAAGGCAGCUUACUAAACUAUUACUGACGCUCAGGGACGAAAGCGUGGGGAGCGAACAGGAUUAGAUA
rnacentral:rRNA from 1 species